CCCCCGACCCUGCGCCCCAGGCCCCAUCCCGAGGCUGCCCUCAGCUGCUGCCCCCUUCCAGCCCUGAUAACGAAUCCAUUCAGAGCCGGGCCAUGGAGCUGUGGGACGAGCUCUGGAGGAGAACGAGGCCUCUCCAAGCCUUUGCGCGACAAAGGGCCUCGGAGACCUGCGGCUCAGCCAGGGGACAGUACACUGAGGACACAGGAGCUGGUGACACCAGACUCUGCUGCUCACACACUCUGAAGGAGCAAAGCACUGCUCCAAGCCAAUCCCAUCCGGAUCCACAUCCUGAAGCUGGAAGCUCUCAGUGCUCAGACAGGACCUGGCUGUUCGGGGGCAGAGCUGCAGCGAGCAGACACUGUGAGAGCACUGCAAGAUCUCUUUUCCCCUCUUGUUUUGGGUUCUGUGCCUUAGACCACAGAGGUAAUUCAGGAGAAGACCCCGAGGCUCAGGAUAAACCUUGAUUGAAUUUGGAAGAAGUUCUGGCAUAAAAUCAGAUCAUCUUGAGGCCACAGAAAAGCAGUCCCUAGAAAGCAGUGCCACUUCUGUUGUGCUGAAUUACCCACCAGGCAGGACGUAGUUUCAGUGCAAUGAAAUUACCAUUGAUUCCUAUGAAAACAGUUAGAAUGUAGGUCCCCAUGUCAUGGAGUGAUCUUUCUUUGAUCCAGGGUUGGUGGACAUGUUCAGGUGCCCUCACAAGGAUGAGUUUUAGGGGGAGCUGGUGCAGUCUCUGCCCUGAGCAGUGGGACAGAGAUCUUGGGAGCUGCAGUAGCUUUUAGAGGGAUGAGGUUCAGCCUGGGGGCUCUGCAGGAUGCUAUCUCACAUCAGGGAGGUUCUCUGGCAGAGACCAGAGUUUUGUGAUGAAACACCCAUACUGACCAUCUCCAGAAGGUUUUCAGACCCCCAGGAGUUGGAGAGCUGUGUUGGAGAAGGUCUGUGAACAAAAAAAGCCAAAUAAGAAACCCAGUUGCUAAAAUUAAUGGAAGAGCUUCCGGUGCAGUGCCCUGGAACCGUGUCUGAGCCAGCUGAUUGUGCUGCUGCUCAUAAAGCAAGGCUGGGUAAGCAGAUCCUCAGGCACUCCUGCUCUGCUCCUUCCUGUGCAGGCACAUCCUGCCCUCAGGGAGGUCAGAGGUUUGAAGUAUGAAGAGAUUUAACACGUUCCUCCAGUCUCCUGGGAUGCAAUAAAGCAGUGACCUUCUAUCA
rnacentral:lncRNA from 1 species